rnacentral:lncRNA from 1 species
GUGAGGCGCAGCUGGUGGAGUCUGGGGGAGGCUUGGUACAGCCUGGGUGGGUCCCCGAGACUCUCAUUUGCAGCUUCUAGAUUCACCUUCAGUGACUUCUGAAUGCACUGGAUCCGCCAGGCUUCUGGGAAAGGGCUGGAGUGGGUUGGCCGUAUUAGAACCAAACGUAACAGUUACACGACAGAAUGCGCUGCAUCUGUGAAAGGCAGGUUCACCAUCUCAAGAGAUGAUUCAAAGAACACACUGUAUCUGCAAGUGAAUACCCUGAAAACCGAGUACACGGCCAUCUAUUACUGUACUA